CAGUUUAAAAGGUUUAUGGAAUAUAUUCUCCUUAUAGUUUCAUAUAAAGUCAAGUCCAUAGAUUGAUUCUUCUUUUUUACUUUACUUCUUUAACAAGAUUACAAAGCACAACUGCAACUAGUUAAAAAGAAAAGAUUAAAAGUGAAUUUUAUUGAUGGUCAAGUGGUGGAAGAGCUGAGAAUCAAUGUCGAUGAAGGUUGCAUGGCACGACGAGGACGCCUUUUCCUGCUUCGGCCACGAACUUGAACUGAAGGAGAUGAAGAUGAUGGCGAAGGUGUAUCAGUAGUAGACCUCUCUCUUCUUGAUACACUCGUCAGUUUCUUCGUGUUAGCUUCUGCCUCACAUGUUUUGUCUUGGUUGACUCGAUUGUCCGCGAGCUUGGUCGCGUUUAUGGUUGCAGGAAGUACACAGUUGCAUAUGAAUC
rnacentral:lncRNA from 1 species